GACCUUACAAAUGAUGCAGAGUGGGAAACAAAUUGUUAAAGAGUUCGUGACAAAAUGGUUGAGCGCAAUGAGUGUUGACUUUCACAGUAGCCUCACCAAGAGAAACCCCAAUACAUUCUCAGAUUUGUACUACAGCAAA